UGUUCACGCAGAGAGGCUGUUGUCUGGGACGGUAAUCUACCCAGCGGCUCUUCAGCUCCCUCCCACAGGAGACUGCCCUAACAGCCAGUAAGUGAAGCAGUUUACUCGGAUAGCCAUGAAUCAGGAGACUUCAGAGGAGCAAAAGACAAUGCAAAAACUCAUCCAGAAGUAUGGGCAGAGCAGCACCCCAUCCCGAGAGCCACAUCACAGCUGCACAGUAAAGAUAAAAGACAAGCUAUCACACGGGGCUUCGGAAAGGAUCCCCCUCUAAUCACACGGCUGCUCUACUCAAGUCCAAGUUCACUAUCUGGAGGACCAACAAUGGUCCUUCGCAGAUUUGGGUGGAACCCAGGAAUCUAUGGCCACAAAAAGCACCAGGGAUCCUAGAAUGCAUCAUCGGACCUAUCACAAAUGUCUGUGUGGCUUUGACUAUUCUUUACUUCCCAAAAAAAUUCCUCCAAGCGCUAAGUGACCAACAGGACUCCAGUGACGUCACUCUUGUGACUCUGUACUAUCUGCACCACUGCCAAAUUUACUGCCCCAAUGCAGUCAGCUUACUUAGGGAGCACUGCACCCUCUGCACGGUCUGCACACCCUACACACCGCCAUUUCUUCUCUGCUAACCUUUUCAGGGCGCUUGCUCUUUAGCACUCUAGUACUGAGCUGCACCUCCAUCACUAAGUGCAAAUUCCUUAAGUACAAGUUCGUACUGUUCCCUUGUGUUUCCAAUCAAGUUUGAAUCCUGUCUCUGCAUCUUAGAUGAUGGUUCUCUGAAUGCCAAGCUGGGACACUUGUCCUUUAAAUCUUAAAAACCUAUUCCUGGGCUGGAGAGAUGGCUCAGAGGUUAGGAGAACUGACUGCUGUUCCGGAGGUCCUGAGUUCA